CUUCAGCAGGAGUAACUCACCCUGCUCACUGUACAACACAUCGUGGGCACAAAGCGUCUUCCAGGGAAUACGCAGCACUCAGAAAGGUUCAUUCUUCAGCCUGAACAAAGUGAGGAAGAAAGAUGCCUUGCAACAUCAGCAAACAGGGCACAUUUCCCUCUACAGGAUGGGAGCUGGUCAACUCCAUAUUCCUCAGAAGUUUGAGAUCAGGUUCUUCACGUGCCUAAUUUGGACUUAAUUCAAGGCUGGGAUAAAUCAUUACAACUCAGAUGAAGUCAGUAAGAGCACAGUGACUUACAUCAGCUCUGUGUCAGUAAAUACUGACAAAAUUGAUCUCAAACUUUUUCAGAACAAAAGAUUUUUGAAGAUGGAUUAAACAACAUAAAUGCUGAGCUGUUUUGCUAGACUGCAAAUGGCAUAACACAUGCUUUGUGUGACAUCUCUGAAUUAUUC
rnacentral:lncRNA from 1 species